GCCCGAGUGGUGGAAUCGGUAGACACAAGGGAUUUAAAAUCCCUCGCUGAAUAAGCGUGACGGUUCAAGUCCGUCCUCGGGUACCA
rnacentral:tRNA from 1 species